rnacentral:snRNA from 1 species
AGAAUAGCAUGAACCCGGGAGGCGGAGCUUGCAGUGAGCUGAGAUCGCGCCACUGCACUUCACUCUGGGUGACAGAG